UACGAAGGGGGCUAGCGUUGCUCGGAAUCACUGGGCGUAAAGGGUGCGUAGGCGGGUCUUUUAAGUCAGGGGUGAAAUCCUGGAGCUCAACUCCAGAACUGCCUUUGAUACUGAGGAUCUUGAGUUCGGGAGAGGUGAGUGGAACUGCGAGUGUAGAGGUGAAAAUUCGUAGAUAUUCGGAGGAACACCAGUGGCGAAGGCGGCUCACUGGCUCGAUACUGACGCUGAGGUGCGAAAGCGUGGGGAGCAAACAGG
rnacentral:rRNA from 1 species